rnacentral:rRNA from 1 species
AGAGUUUGAUCAUGGCUCAGAUUGAACGCUGGCGGCAUGCUUUACACAUGCAAGUCGAACGGCAGCGCGGGCUUCGGCCUGGCGGCGAGUGGCGAACGGGUGAGUAAUGCAUCGGAACGUACCCAGUCGUGGGGGAUAACACAUCGAAAGAUGUGCUAAUACCGCAUACGUCCUGAGGGAGAAAGCGGGGGACCUUCGGGCCUCGCGCGAUUGGAGCGGCCGAUGUCAGAUUAGCUAGUAGGUGGGGUAAAGGCCCACCUAGGCGACGAUCUGUAGCGGGUCUGAGAGGAUGAUCCGCCACACUGGGACUGAGACACGGCCCAGACUCAUACGGGAGGCAGCAGUGGGGAAUUUUGGACAAUGGGGGCAACCCUGAUCCAGCCAUGCCGCGUGAGUGAAGAAGGCCUUCGGGUUGUAAAGCUCUUUCGGCCGGGAAGAAAUCGCGCUCUUUAAUAGAGGGUGUGGAUGACGGUACCGGACUAAGAAGCACCGGCUAACUACGUGCCAGCAGCCGCGGUAA